rnacentral:rRNA from 1 species
AUUGAACGCUAGCGGGAUGCCUUACACAUGCAAGUCGAACGGAGUGGCGAACGGGUGAGUAAUGUAUCGGAACGUGCCCAGUAGCUGGGGAAAACUACGCGAAAGCGUAGCUAAUACCGCAUACUAUUUGAGCGGCAGAUGUCGGAUUAGCUGGUUGGGGGGGUAACGGCUGACCAAGGCGACGAACCGUAGCUGGUUUGAGAGGACGACCAGCCAGCCUGUGACUGUGACACGCCCCAGACUCCUACGGGAGGCAGCAGUGGGGAAUUUUGGAGAAUGGGGGAAACCCGGAGCCAGCCAUCCCGAGUGUGCGAUGAAGGCCUUCGGGUUGUAAAGCACUUUUGGCAGGAAAGCGGUACCUGCAGAAGAAGCACCGGCUAACUACGUGCCAGCAGCCGCGGUAAUAC